rnacentral:lncRNA from 1 species
GAUUUUGAAACUGUUAAAGAUUUUGUAAGUUGCCAUUGAUGAACCUUGUGAUUUUUUAUAUCACAUGAUGAAUUUCAGAUAUUAAUGGUUGUAAUGGCCCAAUUUCGCCCGGGCCCAAGACCAAAUACAAAUAAUAAAUAAAACCAAAUAAAUAAAAAGUCCAAAUACCAAGUCCAUUUACAGCAAACCCAACAGGCCCAAAUUACAAAAAACCCUAGUGGCCCGACAAGCCCAAAGCCUAAACAUCUUUUCAAAAAAAAAAAGAAACCCUAACACCCUUUAGCCGCCGCUCCUCCCACGCGCGCCUCAUGGCCUCCUCGAAUGCCACCACCGCAGCACGCGUCUGACACCUACAGAGAGAAAUCAAUGCAAAACAGCAGAAGAAACAAAUAACAAAAA